rnacentral:tRNA from 2 species
UAACAAAUAGCUUAUUUAUUUAAAGCAUAGUACUGAAGAUACUAAUAAGGUUUUUUGUCCUUUGUUAA